rnacentral:rRNA from 1 species
AUGGCUCAGAACGAACGCUGGCGGCAGGCUUAACACAUGCAAGUCGAACGCCCCGCAAGGGGAGUGGCAGACGGGUGAGUAACGCGUGGGAACAUACCCUUUCCUGCGGAAUAGCUCCGGGAAACUGGAAUUAAUACCGCAUACGCCCUACGGGGGAAAGAUUUAUCGGGGAAGGAUUGGCCCGCGUUGGAUUAGCUAGUUGGUGGGGUAAAGGCCUACCAAGGCGACGAUCCAUAGCUGGUCUGAGAGGAUGAUCAGCCACAUUGGGACUGAGACACGGCCCAAACUCCUACGGGAGGCAGCAGUGGGGAAUAUUGGACAAUGGGCGCAAGCCUGAUCCAGCCAUGCCGCGUGAGUGAUGAAGGCCUUAGGGUUGUAAAGCUCUUUCACCGAUGAAGAUAAUGACGGUAGUCGGAGAAGAAGCCCCGGCUAACUUCGUGCCAGCAGCCGCGGUAAUACGAAGGGGGCUAGCGUUGUUCGGAAUUACUGGGCGUAAAGCGCACGUAGGCGGAUAUUUAAGUCAGGGGUGAAAUCCCGCAGCUCAACUGCGGAACUGCCUUUGAUACUGGGUAUCUUGAGUAUGGAAGAGGUAAGUGGAAUUCCGAGUGUAGAGGUGAAAUUCGUAGAUAUUCGGAGGAACACCAGUGGCGAAGGCGGCUUACUGGUCCAUUACUGACGCUGA